GACGUAGGGCGCGAGCGUUGUCCGGAUUUAUUGGGCGUAAAGAGCUCGUAGGCGGCUUGUCGCGUCGACUGUGAAAUCCCGAGGCUCAACUUCGGGCUUGCAGUCGAUACGGGCAGGCUAGAGUUCGGUAGGGGAGACUGGAAUUCCUGGUGUAGCGGUGAAAUGCGCAGAUAUCAGGAGGAACACCGAUGGCGAAGGCAGGUCUCUGGGCUGUAACUGACGCUGAGGAGCGAAAGCAUGGGGAGCGAACAGG
rnacentral:rRNA from 1 species